CGUUACCUCAGAGUGGCCGGCGGCCUCAGGCCUGGCGGCCGCCGCCACCGCCCGCCCGGCGGCUGCUGGUGCUGCGCAGUUUCCGGCGCGUCCCCGCCGCCAUGCCAGUCCGCCCCGCCCCGCUCCCGGCAGGCAGCGGCGGCGGGCGGGAGCGGGGCUGCGCGGCGGAGGUGCGAGAAGCGCCUGAGUCAAAGUUGUCUGGAAAGUAGUUUCACACCUUGGCGAAAACUCAAAACCAACCAUCUGCUUUUUCUAUGGCAGCAGCACCUGGCAAGGUUUGGGCAUCUCUGUAAGAUAUCAUGAGUGCAUCUCCUUGCAAUUUGUUCACUCCUCCCUCAGACCUAAGUUCAAUUUCUUCAGAUUAUCUGUAAAUUUUCAAUAAUGGCAAUACAUUCAUUCUGCCAUUUGGAGGAGCCUGUGCCACAGAAUAAUGAUCUGAAGAAAGCUCACUUACUUGUAAGGAAGAGUCUUCAUUUGGGAAGUAGUACACAUGCAGCCAAGAGGUGCUUUGUCAAGUUCAGGUCUUUGACAUUCAGUGGGAUGAGAAUCUCAGAACAGACUGACUACUGGGAACUCCCAAGCUACAGUUCAGGAGGAGACUCUUCUGCCUAAUCUGCAAUCUGGCUAUGGGAUCCUGACAUGCUCGCCAAGAAGAGGUGUUGAAGGCUGUGUAGUGCCUUGAAGAUUAACUUCAUUAUCCUACUGUGGAAUGUGAGGGCCAGUGUCUUUCAUUGCAACUUGCUGUGGACUAACUUCCUACUGGACCAUUGAAUCCUGGAGACAUCAGUCAUAUAUGUUCCCAACUUCCAACCUUGUUUAUCUGACUUUCCUUCACAGAACAAAGGAUCAGUGUCUUGCCUUGCUUUUCUGCUGUGCAAAUGAAUUUUGUCCAGUAUGUGUUACCUAAGAAAGAAUUAAGAAAGCUGAAGUCAGAAUAGCAGAACUUGACUCACUCGCAAAUAAGGAUGAUCUGCAUGUGCUCAUUCUAUAAAGAUAAUGUGGAGCAGAUUCAGACGACUCCCAUUUUAAAGCUACAGAAACCAUUUUGGUAGGUGCGGGUUUCUUGUCAGAAAUCCAUUCCGAAGCUUGAGUGCAAAGCAAGCAAGGUACUAAUAAUGGAUAUCUUAAGGAUAACAAUGGAUAUGGCAUCUUCAAAAGCAGUGGCAUUCUGGCGGUUUUUCCUUUCCUGUUCUGCGUGACGAAGAUCUGAGUUCCGAGGAUCUAAUCGGGGUUUCAGCCAGGUGUGAUGCCAGGUGCUGAAGGCCCUAAUCCUGCCAACUGGAUUUAUAUGAAAUGGAGCUCGGUAGCCAUGGGGCCUGACUGAGUAAAUGGGACUCUGGAUGACUGCAGGUUGCUACCCUGAAGAUCAGACUGUAGGCCUGAACCUAAAUUUCUGUCUUAUUCCCCUGUCUAUUUGCUUCUAAUUCAUGAAAAUCAUCCUACAAAACGAUGUUGUCUUUGAGUCUCAUGCAUGUUUACUUUAGUAGCAUUCAGACACUGUGUGCUUGGGAUGUUGUCUGACACUGUUAAAAUAUGUCUGUUUGUCAUGUGCCAAAAACUCAGGAUCGCCGUGAUUAUUGUGUUAUAUUUUAACAUUCAAUGGCUUCCUACCUAAAACAGAGGAGAUAAUCACCUGUGUUUUCAGUUGUCGUGGUAUGUCUCUCAACUCAGAUUUUCAAUAGAGAAUAACUGUUGGAACUCUAUUCAGGUCAUUUUUUAAAGAUCUUGGUAGAUUUGUUUUUUAUUUGUUGGACACAAAGUAAAUCUAUUUUAUUUUUCAAUGUGCUGUUCUCUUAGUAGCCUACUAUUACUGAAAGCCUUCAAUAUAAUGAUACGCUGUGAUGCAGACCAAUAAAAUAAGUAGGAAAAGGCAUUAACUUUUACUAGCUCUCCUGUUGCUUUUCUAUUUCUGUGGCUGUGGUUACAUGACAUACUAUACAGCUGAGAGUGAGGAUAUUUUUAUUUUUGUGAACCGGAGAAUAUCUUUUGUUUACACUGAGUGCUGUUCCCUCUCCUAUUCCAUAUGACUAUGUUGCAGUUUCACUGAGUACUAAAGUUAAAUAGCCCUCAUAGAAGCUGAAAAGGACUUUAUGAAAUCACAUUAAAAUAGAGUUUAAGGGGAAAAAUGGAUAUGCUCCAUCUCUAUGCAUGUUAGUAUUUAUAUUGUAUAGAUUUUUUUUUAAAGCGAGUAUGUAGCAAUAUAGGAUAAUUAACGGAUUAAAACUUGCUGUAUAUAGAGAAUCAGAAAUACCUUCUUUUUUUUUUCUAUGUAGGCUUAUUUCAAUGAUAUUUAAGAGCUUCACAGUAUUUGUUGAAUUUUUGCAUAUUCCCAGAACGACAGAAAAGCACUGCUGUCCUGUUUGACCAAGGAGAAAACCAAGCCACUUGUGCAGUCAGAAGUAAAGUCGAUGUUAUUAAUUGCCUUUUAACCUUGUGCCUCCAUCUCCAUUUCUCCCUCAAAAGCCAAAGCUUCCAUUAUAAUCAGCUGCUUUGCAUUUCUAUGUAAAAGGCCCAAGGUGUUUCGGUUUGGACUCCCAGAAAGUGAGGAAGACAAGGUUGGUGGCCCUCUGCCAAGGUGCUCGGUCUGACUCGCUCCUCAUUCACAGAAGCCGAUGGCAAAGGCAGAGGCAGAACUGAGUGUUCCUGUGUGGCGUUCAACUGCCUUAACCACAUGCCCAUUGCUCUCUUCCUGUAGUUGUCUGUCUUGUUCUCUGCAGAACUUCUAGAGCAAACACAUAUACCAACCUAUAAAUAAUCUAAUUCGAUACACAACCCUGAUUCAUUUCCUGCGCAGCGUGUGUCCUGCACACACAGGGCGGCCAUGGUCCUGUGGAAAAGUUUAGCAGAGUGGAUCAGACCAAGUAUUAAGGUUAUUAAGUAUUUAAACUUUGCAAUGAAAUAGCAUUCUUUUAAUGUAGUUAUUAUAACUAUAGCUUGAAGCAUUUUUAACAAGGGACAAGAAGAAAUGAGUGCUUUUAUAUCUGUUUGUAACCAUGAAUAUUCAGCUCAGUGAGAUGCAGAACAUCAGCCGGUAGGAGGAGGCUGGCCACCUCCAGAGAGGAAGGGAAGGAAGAAGGCUGGGUAGUAAAUGCCAUGGGUAUACCCUGUUUGCCUUGAGUCUCAGAGACUAUUUGAGGAGAGUUUACUCUAGCUUUUGUUUUCUUUUCAGCAUUCCCAGCCCAAGAAGUUAGCUCCUCCAGAGUUUCUCAAUGCAGUAGAUGUUGGGGGUAUGCACUGUGUUGCUGUAGUCUGGUAAUAGUGUAAAGAAAUGGAAAUCAAAGGUGGAUUUUUUUCCUAUCUAUGUUUUUCUGUCAGAAAAUAAGAGGAGACGCUCCUCAAGUCUCCCAGUUUUCUCCCAGAUGAAUUUCAGAAGCGAUCAGUAUGAUCCUUGGUCUCAAAAAUAGGUAGCAAAAGCUUUUCUAAUAGAAAAUACUGCUGUCCACUUGCCCCUUUAAUCUUCUUCCCCAUUAAACUGUAGUGGCCUGUUGUGUUUGUAAGUUACCAAGGAUGGUGUGUAGACUCCAGUGCCAGAGCAGUGGUGUUGGGAAUCACAAGCCCAUCUCUUUAUCUUUUGUGUUAGACUUGAUUAGGAUGAUAGGGUUGGUUUAUUUUUUUCAGAGAAAUCUUGCCAGACCGUGGGGUAAGUUUCAGUUUAUCCAUGGAUGGCGCUUGAGAUUUGGUGACCAGGCGAGUGAUUUGCUAUGAGGAAAACGAAGCAACCUCAUGCUUUGCUUUUGCUUAUUUUUCUCUGGGUUACGCAGUCUUUUCCCACAAAUAAUGCAGUAAAUUCAGAUGUCCUGUAAACGACGCUGGAAACAAUACUGAGAUAUAUGAGUAGUUAGGAAAAUUUUGGUCAUGCCAUUCACUGAAAUUCAUAAAAAUUAAAAUGCUUGCAGAAGUACAUCGGUCCCACUGGCAUUUUGUUGUAAAGAAAAAAUGAAAACCCUGCUUUUAACACGUUUUGUUUUGUUUUUUUAAAUAAAGAUCAGUUUUCAAAGUUUCAUAGCUGUAGAGAAAUUAUGGGAGCAGGAAGAAUCAGUUUUGAUAGAUUGAUCACCUUAAUAGAUCACCACCUGAUAGAUGGAAUCACCUUAAGCCAGUAUUUCCACUCAACACUUUGUAUCGUGAAACCAUGGCCUGAAACUGCUGCCUGUCAUAUCAGAUAAUAUUAUCAUUGAUUUAGUAUGUUACUUCAUCAUAUGCGUGGUUUGUAACCUUUCCUGGUUUUUGGUUUGGAUUUUUUUUUUUUUCGGUUUAGGGUUGGGUUUUUAUUGGUGUUUUUACCAGCACCUAGUGUGAGAGAGCCUUCAUCCAUGACUUGGGUUCCAGGUACUAGGAUAAUACAAGUAGUAAUCAUGCCUGCUGCUAAAAAUUUUCUACCUUAUUUCCAUUUGCAUUUGUUUGCCUUCAGCUUCCAGUCAUUGAUUCUUGUUAUGCUUUUCUCUGAUGGAUUAAAGAGCUCUCUAGUACUCACUAUUUUCUCCCCAGGAAGGUGCUUUUACCCUGUAAUCAAGUUACUUCUCAAUCUUUCUUUUUUUUUUUUUUUUUUUUUUUU